AUUGAACGCUGGCGGCAUGCUUUACACAUGCAAGUCGAACGGCAGCGCGGGCUUCGGCCUGGCGGCGAGUGGCGAACGGGUGAGUAAUACAUCGGAACGUGCCCAGUAGUGGGGGAUAGCUCGGCGAAAGCCGGAUUAAUACCGCAUACGACCUGAGGGUGAAAGCGGGGGAUCUUCGGACCUCGCGCUAUUGGAGCGGCCGAUGGCAGAUUAGCUAGUUGGUGGGGUAAAGGCCUACCAAGGCGACGAUCUGUAGCUGGUCUGAGAGGACGACCAGGCACAAUGGGGACUAGAAACGGCCCCAGCUCCCACGGGGGGGAGCAAGGGGGAAUUUUGGACCAAGGGGGGAAGCCCGGACCAGGAAAUGCGGCGGGGGUGAUGAGGCCUUCGGGGUUGAAAACAAUUUUGGCCGGGAAGAAAAGGGAUGGGGCAAAUACACCGGUCCAAGACGGGACCCGCAGAAUAAGCACCGGCUAACUACGUG
rnacentral:rRNA from 1 species